CCUACGGGGCGCAGCAGUGGGGGAUAUUGCACAAUGGGGGGAACCCUGAUGCAGCGACGCCGCGUGGGCGAUGGAGUUCUUCGGCAUGUAAAGCCCUAUCAGCAGGGAAGAAAGAAAUGACGGUACCUGAGUAAGAAGCCCCGGCUAACUACGUGCCAGCAGCCGCGGUAAUACGUAGGGGGCAAGCGUUAUCCGGAAUUACUGGGUGUAAAGGGAGCGUAGACGGUAAUGCAAGUCUGGAGUGAAAGGCGGGGGCCCAACCCCCGGACUGCUCUGGAAACUGUGUAACUGGAGUGCAG
rnacentral:rRNA from 1 species